rnacentral:rRNA from 1 species
AUGCCGGACAUGCAGAACGAAUUUAAUGCAGUGCUCAUGAAGACCACUAAAGAAGAGUUGAAGACGCUGAUUCCUGACCCAACGAAGGGCGCGGUGGCAGUUGACAUCAUUCGCCGGGCCCUGAAUCAGGCCGUCUCCGACAACGCUAAACAGAGGAAGAAGUGGUGCAAGUACAAGACCUACUGGGCUCCAAAUGAUCGCCGUGCCGCAGUGUAUUGGGAGACGGCUAUCGCGCCGCCGGCGGUCAUCGGUGGGGAGCCUAAGGAGGAGGAAGAAGAAGCGGUGCACAUGCCAGCGAGGGUGCCAGAGCGAGGCCGUCGUGUUGGGGAACGUAGCAAUAAUUCAAAAAAAUUCCUACGUGUCACCAAGAUCAAUCUAGGAGAUGCUAGCAACGAGAGAGAGGGAGUGCAUCUUCAUAACCUUGAAGAUCGCUAA